CACCACAACAGGUGGAGCCUGCGGUUUAAUCGGACUCAACGCCGGGAAACUCACCAGAUAAGACAGCUGAAUGAUAGUCGGGCUGAAGACUCUACUUGACUAGCUGAGAGGAGGUGCAUGGCCGUCGUCAGUUCGUACUGUGAAGCAUCCUGUUAAGUCAGGCAACGAGCGAGACCCACGCCAACAGUUGCCAGCAUGUCCUCCGGGAUGAUGGGGACACUGUUGGGACCGCCUCUGCUAAAGAGGAGGAAGGAAUGGGCAACGGUAGGUCAGCAUGCCCCGAAUUAUCCGGGCUACACGCGGGCUACAAUGGUCAGGACAAUGGGUAUCAACACCGAAAGGUGAAGGCAAUCUCCUAAACCUGUCCUUAGUUCGGAUUGUGGGCUGCAACUCGCCCACAUGAAGCUGGAAUCUGUAGUAAUCGCGUCUCAAAAUGGCGCGGUGAAUAUGUCCCUGCUCCUU
rnacentral:rRNA from 1 species